rnacentral:rRNA from 1 species
UACGUAGGGGGCAAGCGUUGUCCGGAAUCAUUGGGCGUAAAGCGCGUGUAGGCGGCUCGAUAAGUCCGCUCUGAAAGUCCGGGGCUCAACCCCGGGAGGCGGGUGGAUACUGUCGGGCUAGAGUCCGGAAGAGGCGGGUGGAAUUCCUGGUGUAGCGGUGAAAUGCGCAGAUAUCAGGAGGAACACCAAUGGCGAAGGCAGCCCGCUGGGACGGUACUGACGCUGAGACGCGAAAGCGUGGGGAGCAAACAGG